UACGAAGGGGGCUAGCGUUGCUCGGAAUCACUGGGCGUAAAGCGCACGUAGGCGGGUCGUUAAGUCAGGGGUGAAAUCCUGGAGCUCAACUCCAGGACUGCCUUUGAUACUGGCGAUCUCGAGUCCGGGAGAGGUGAGUGGAACUGCGAGUGUAGAGGUGAAAUUCGUAGAUAUUCGCAAGAACACCAGUGGCGAAGGCGGCUCACUGGCCCGGUACUGACGCUGAGGUGCGAAAGCGUGGGGAGCAAACAGG
rnacentral:rRNA from 1 species